rnacentral:rRNA from 1 species
CGUAAUAACAGAAACUAACCAGGAUUCCCUUAGUAACGGCGAGUGAACUGGGAUACCAAUAUAUUUAUGCGUCUCUGGCGCAUAUUUUUAGCCCGUCGAUACUAUCCUAGCGUAUUACCGGUUUCGGCCGGUAGCCCAAUACGCGGGAAUUGUAGCAUCGUAAUAAAAUAUACACCAUGCCUGCGUCGCAAACGUAUAUACACGUAUACUCACACACACACACAUACUCUCGUACGCGUACACACCCCUUGCAAACACACAGCGCUCCCGCGUUGGAAAGCAAGUCUAUAUCCUCUUUGGAUAUGCCAUAGAGUGUGACAGCCACGUGUGACACACCCUACGUAGCGUACACACACAUACGUAAAAAUACGCGCUGCUUCGCAUACGCAUACGUAUAUAACCUGAGUCGAGUUAUUU